CACGACCCCAGGUCAGGCGGGAUCACCCACUGAGUUUAAGCAUAUCAAUAAGCGGAGGAAAAGAAACUUACCAAGAUUCUCCUAGUAACGACGAGCGAAUCGGGAAGAGCCUAGCUUGAGAAUCGGGUGCCUCUGGUGACCAAAUUAUAGUCUGAAGAAGCGUCCUUAGCGACAGACCAGGUCCAAGUCCCCUGAAAAGGGGCACCAGAGAGGGUGAAAGCCCUGUUGUGCUCGGACCCUAUCGUACCAUGAGGUGCUGUCCGCGAGUCAGGUUGUUUAGGAAAGUAGCCCCAACCGGGUGGUAAAUUCUGUCCAAGGCUGAAUACGGGUGAGAGAUCGAUAGUGAACAAGUACUACGAGGGAAAGAUGAAAAGGACUUUGAAAAAAGAGUCAAAGAGUGCUUGAAAUUAUCGGGAGGGAAGUGGAUUGGGGUCUACGAUGUGCCCCGAUCGGAUGUGGAACGACAAGAGCCAAUCUAUCGAUGUGCCAGUGAAGACGUCUUCAUCACGAUCGUGGAAUGCAGCACGCACCAUCUCGGCAUGCUCAACACCUGCGUGCCCCUAGCGUCAGCCUACGGACUCUCCAUCCGGCUCGUCUUGAAACAUGGACCAAGGAGUUUGACAUGCGUGCUAGUCAACGGGUCAGGAAACGCAUAAGGCAUAAGGAAACUGAUUGGCAGGAUCCCUCGUGGGUGCACCACCGACCAACCUUGAUCUUCUGAGAAGGGUUCAAGUGCGAGCAUGCCCGUCGGGACCUAAAAAAUGGUGAACUAUGCCUGAGUGGGGCAAAGCUAGAUGAAACUCUAGUGGAGGCCCGCAGCGAUACUGACGUGCAAAUCAUUCGUCUGACUUGGGUAUAGGGGCAAAAGACUAAUCAAACCAUCUAGUAGUUGGUUCCCUCCGAAGUAUCCCUCAGGACAGCUGGAGCCCCCGAUGAGUUCUAUCGGGUAAAGCCAAUAAUUAGAGGCAUUCGGGGUGCAAUGCCCUCGACCUAUUCCAAGUGGGCCAUUUUUGGUAAGCAGAACUGGCAAUGCAGGAUGAACCAAAAGUCAGGUUACAGUGCCCAACUGCGUGCUAACCCAGAACCAUAAAGCGUGUUGGUCGAUUAAGACAGUAGGACGGUGGUCAUGGAAGUCGAAAUCUACUAAGGAAUGUGCAACAACUCACCUACCGAAUCAACUAGCCCCAAAAAUGGAUGGUGCGUAAGCGGGUGACCUAUACCCGACCGUCGAGGCAGGGGCUAGACCCUGAUGAGUAGGAAGGUGUGGUGGUUGCCACAAAACCUAGGGUGCAAGCCCGACAAAGCGACCGUCGGUGCAGAUCUUGAUAGUAGUAGCAAAUAUUCAAAUGAGAACUUUGAAGGCCAAAGAGGGGAAAGGUUCCAAGUGAAUGGCACUUGCACAUGGGUUAGUCGAUCAUAAAAGAUGGGGGAAGCCCGUCCGACAGCACGUCCUACGUGAGCUUCAAAAGGGCAUCGAGUUAAAAUUCUUAAACUGGGAUGCAAUGAUUGAUGGCAACAUUAGGGAGUCCAGAUAUGUCGAUGGACGAGCCGUACGGGCCACCUUGGAGCUCAAUUCCCAUUGAGCGAUGGGUAGAAUCCUUUGUAGAUGACUUAAAUACGCGAUGGAGUAUUGUAAGUGGCAGAGUGGCCUUGCUUCCAUGGUCCAUUGAGAUUCAGCCCUUUCUCGCUUUGAUUCGUCCCUCCCCCCUCCCUUUUCCCCUCCCAUUCCCCCAUUGACCUUCCUUCUUUUUACGUCACCCCCCUCUAGGGUUGGGCAUGACCCGGGGCCCUCCAUCCCUCGAUCCCGAUCGGGAAUGAACUCCACAUGCUUAAAUCAACCUACAAAAUGAGCGUAGCGAGCACUAGCUGCCAGAGAGGUAGAAUGCGCAAGUGGAGGAAUGAUCGGUCCCCCUUUGUGUGUUAUGAUCUGCUUAAAACGGUUCUUGCUGCCACAACCCUGGUCUGAUCGAGCUUAGACUGGAAAUGAAAUCCGUAUGCCUAAGUCAACCUACGAAAUAGCGUGCGGGCACAAGCGGCUAGAGAGGCAGAAUAUUUGCAAGCUAAGGAUCAAUUGGGUCCCCCUCUAUGUGCUGCGCAGUCUGCAGGCUUUCUAUACGGUUCGAAUUCGACCCCACUCCUUGGGACCACCUGGAUGCAGUGCGAGCAUGUUAUGGGCCUGGUCUUGGUGUCACAGACAAGCUGGACUUCUGAGUAGGUGGUCUUGACAGCAAUAGCAAUGACUAUUGCUGGAACCCCCGCCUCUACGUACGGUGCUCGAGCCUUGGCCACUGGUGCACGGGCCUCAACUCCUGGUGCGCACGCCCAAGGCCUGGCACUAGCACUUGGUGCGAGCUGCUACCUUGAACACCCCUAGUCUGAUCGUAUGCUCGCACCUCGAUCAUUAGUGCCCUCACGUCGGUCUGACUACGUACCUGAGCAUCGCUCACCAACACCCACACCUGGGCCUGGCUCAAUUCUGCCGAACCUAACACCGUGUCUGACCCCUGGAGUCCUGAUCAUUACCCGUAGCACUAUCUCGAUCCAGUUCCCCAUGACCUGUACCUCGAGUAGGCCUAAGGCCUAGUCCUCUCUGGCUGUUGAACCCUAUCCCACUACAACCUAGGGGCCAGUCCCGACUUGCUCGCUAACCGUGACACAUGCGUCACAGGCUCUGACUUUAGACUCAGAAUCCGUGCAGCCUUAGGCUUGGAAUCUCUUUCU
rnacentral:rRNA from 1 species